rnacentral:rRNA from 1 species
GCUGGCGGCAUGCCUUACACAUGCAAGUCGAACGGCAGCACGGGAGCAAUCCUGGUGGCGAGUGGCGAACGGGUGAGUAAUAUAUCGGAACGUGCCCAGUCGGUGGGGAUAACGUAGCGAAAGCUACGCUAAUACCGCAUACGAUCUACGGAUGAAAGCGGGGGAUCGCAAGACCUCGCGCGAUUGGAGCGGCCGAUAUCAGAUUAGGUAGUUGGUGAGGUAAAGGCUCACCAAGCCGACGAUCUGUAGCUGGUCUGAGAGGACGACCAGCCACACUGGGACUGAGACGCGGCCCAGACUCCUACGGGAGGCAGCAGUGGGGAAUUUUGGACAAUGGGCGCAAGCCUGAUCCAGCAAUGCCGCGUGCAGGAUGAAGGCCUUCGGGUUGUAAACUGCUUUUGUACGGAACGAAACGGUGAGCUCUAAUACAGUUUCGCCUAGUGACGGUACCGUAAGAAUAAGCACCGGCUAACUACGUG